rnacentral:rRNA from 1 species
CACGUAGGGCGCAAGCGUUGUCCGGAAUUAUUGGGCGUAAAGAGCUCGUAGGCGGUCUGUUGCGUCCGCUGUGAAAACUCGGGGCGUAACCCCGAGCCUGCAGUGGAUACGGGCAGACUAGAGGUAGGUAGGGGAGAAUGGAAUUCCCGGUGUAGCGGCGAAAUGCGCAGAUAUCGGGAGGAACACCGGUGGCGAAGGCGGUUCUCUGGGCCUUACCUGACGCUGAGGAGCGAAAGCGUGGGGAGCGAACAGG